GGACGAACGCUGGCGGCGUGCUUAACACAUGCAAGUCGAACGGAAAGGCCCUGCUUUUGUGGGGUGCUCGAGUGGCGAACGGGUGAGUAACACGUGAGUAACCUGCCCUUGACUUUGGGAUAACUUCAGGAAACUGGGGCUAAUACCGGAUAGGAGCUCCUUCUGCAUGGUGGGGGUUGGAAAGUUUCGGCGGUUGGGGAUGGACUCGCGGCUUAUCAGCUUGUUGGUGGGGUAGUGGCUUACCAAGGCUUUGACGGGUAGCCGGCCUGAGAGGGUGACCGGCCACAUUGGGACUGAGAUACGGCCCAGACUCCUACGGGAGGCAGCAGUGGGGAAUAUUGCACAAUGGGCGGAAGCCUGAUGCAGCAACGCCGCGUGCGGGAUGACGGCCUUCGGGUUGUAAACCGCUUUCGCCUGUGACGAAGCGUGAGUGACGGUAAUGGGUAAAGAAGCACCGGCUAACUACGUG
rnacentral:rRNA from 1 species